GCCAGGUGCGGUGGGCCCGCCUGUAAUCCCAGCGGCAUGGAAGGCAGAGGCAGGAGAAUCGUGAGUUCAAAGCCAGCCUCAGCAACUGCGAGGCGCUAAGCAACUCAGUGAGACCCUGUCUCUA
rnacentral:sRNA from 1 species